rnacentral:rRNA from 1 species
CAGUCGAACGGACUUAACUCAUUCUUUUAGAUUGAGAGCGGUUAGUGGCGGACUGGUGAGUAACACGUAAGCAACCUGCCUAUCAGAGGGGAAUAACAGUGAGAAAUCAUUGCUAAUACCGCAUAAGCUAGUAGUAUCGCAUGAUAUAGCUAGAAAAGGAGCAAUCCGCUGAUAGAUGGGCUUGCGUCUGAUUAGCUAGUUGGUGGGGUAACGGCCUACCAAGGCGACGAUCAGUAGCCGGACUGAGAGGUUGAACGGCCACAUUGGGACUGAGAUACGGCCCAGACUCCUACGGGAGGCAGCAGUCGGGAAUAUUGCGCAAUGGAGGAAACUCUGACGCAGUGACGCCGCGUAUAGGAAGAAGGUUUUCGGAUUGUAAACUAUUGUCGUGAGGGAAGAAAUUGACAGUACCUCAGGAGGAAGCUCCGGCUAACUAUGUGCCAGCAGCCGCGGUAAUACAUAGGGAGCAAGCGUUAUCCGGAUUUAUUGGGUGUAAAGGGUGCGUAGACGGGAAAUUAAGUUAGUUGUGAAAUCCCUCGGCUUAACUGAGGAACUGCAACUAAAACUGAUUUUCUUGAGUACUGGAGAGGAAAGUGGAAUUCCUAGUGUAGCGGUGAAAUGCGUAGAUAUUAGGAGGAACACCAGUGGCGAAGGCGACUUUCUGGACAGUAACUGACGUUGAGGCACGAAAGUGUGGGGAGCAAACAGGAUUAGAUACCCUGGUAGUCCACACUGUAAACGAUGGAUACUAGGUGUAGGAUGUAUUAAGCAUUCUGUGCCGCCGCUAAC